rnacentral:rRNA from 1 species
GGGGGCGGGAGAGGUUGAGGGUACUUCGCGGGUAGGGGCGAAAUCCUAUAAUCCGCGAAGGACCACCAGUGGCGAAGGCGCUCAACUGGAACGCGCCCGACGGUGAGGGACGAAAGCCAGGGGAGCAAAGGGGAUUAGAUACCCCCGUAGUCCUGGCUGUAAACGAUGCGGGCUAGGUGUUGGGUUGGCUUCGUGCCAACCCGGUGCCGCAGUGAAGACGAUAAGCCCGCCGCCUGGGAAGUACGGCUGCAAGGCUGAAACUUAAAGGAAUUGGCGGGGGAGCACCACAAGGGGUGAAGCCUGCGGUUUAAUUGGAGUCAACGCCGGGAAUCUUACCG